CCCUUAGAUGUCCUGGGCCGCACGCGCGCUACACUGACAUGUUCAACAAGCCUCCUAGUUCGACAGGAUUUGGGAAAUCUUUGAACGCAUGUCGUGAUAGGGAUAGAUCAUUGCAAUUAUUGAUCUUGAACGAGGAAUUCCUAGUAAACGCGAGUCAUCAGCUCGCAUUGAUUACGUCCCUGCCCUUUGUACACACCGCCCGUCGCACCUACCGAUUGAAUGUGUCGGUGAAGAUUCCGGAUAGGACUUUUUUGAUUUAUUUCAAUUUUGUCUUAAAAGCUAUCUAAACCUCAACAUUUAGAGGAAGGUGAAGUCGUAACA
rnacentral:rRNA from 1 species